AAUGCCAUUGUGUUUGCUAAUAUGGUUCUACAAACUGGCAUUUUCACCAGUAUAACAUGCCUCAUAUUCUCCCUGUGCAUGUACAGUCUCUGAUCUUUUAGUAUUCAACAUGUAGCACUUAGUUUUGCCAACUUUAAACAAACCUGGACGCCCCAUUAAAGGAAAUCUUAGAGAAGUUCCCUCUAUCAGACUGCCAUGUGGAUAAGUGGGAGGUAGGGUAUUUUCUUGAUUAUUGACUGAUGUGGUGGACCCAGUUCACUGAGGAUGCAUCAUCCUUAAGAAGAUAGGACUAAUUAUAAGUUGACCAGAGCCAUGAGGAGCACACUGAUAAGCAAUGCCCCUUCAUGGUCUCUACUUCAGCUCUGGCUUUGGCUUUAUAACCCAUUUCCUCCUCAAUUUGCUUUUUAUCAUAGUGUUUAUUACAAUAGAGAGCAAACGAGUGUUUCCUCAUGUAAGUAUCAAAACUUGGGGCUUAGUUUGUAUUUCCCUACUGGCUUAAUGGGAUUGGAUAGUUUAUAAGUGAGUGUGCUUCAAUAUGAGUCCAGUGGCUCUUCUGAGCUGUAAAUUCCAGUGCAACUAGUGUAAAAUCUGUACAGCAAGAAGGAUACACACAAGGGGCUUUCCUUGUCUAGGGGGAUCUUGGGAACAGAGGAACCAAAUGCUGCCAUCUUGAAUAUAUUCUAGGCCCCUCUGUUGAACCUCUUUACCUCAGUGUGACCAUUCAAAGGUGAUGUUGAGUCCUGAUCUGUGGACUCAGGCUCUUUUCCCACCUGGGUUGGUUAUUUCACUUUUUGGUCCCCCAACAAUAAUAUCUUUUACAUACUACAUGAAGUUAUCCAAGUAUAUUUGAUGAUACAUUAGGGCUAAUUUGGCCUCAGUCCUGUAAUAUCAUUUUAUGUAGUAUCCACUAAUCAUAAUGCUUCCUGGAGAAGUCUCGCUUCGUGUUCUAGCCUUCUGUGGUUUGCACUAUGUAUUGGCUUCCUCUCCAAUAACUUGGAAGGUUUAUGGAAUAUUUUUAGCUCCUCCACUGGCUGCCAUGUAACUACAUACACUAUCCCUUUAUGCCGUGCUUAUUGAAUUAUAACUUAAGAGAUUUUUCCAAUCGUAAAAAGCAAGGAGGUUCAUUUGCUUCCUCAGACUCACUUCUCCACAGGCCUGUUUAAGUGUGGUGUGGUCCAUUCCUUUGGACCUUAAGCAUUGUCCUUCUACAUCUAGAGCCAUCUAUCAGCUUCCGAUGUAUUUGCCUCAUCUUCAAACAUGAACACUGGCAGAUAAACAUCCUACUUGGGAUCCAGAGACUCCAGAAAACACUUCACUGUAAAAAACUCAUAGGCAAUUUCAGUUCUGAAGGACUGAAAGAGAAUGCUGUACCGAGAUGGUCCUUCUUCCAUCCUCUUUGUCUCUGUUUCCAUGUCCUGUUGGAACAUGGCAGGAAAUCCUUGUCCUUGUCCUCUUUCCUUGCCUGCUUAACUAUUUGGAUGCCAACACUGGCUUCUGAAAGUACUGUGUCCUGUGAGAGCAAUGUAGGUCUCCCUAUCAGCACUGGCAAGGCAAUAGGGUCUCCCCUAGGUAUGAGCAAGUUCUGCUGUCACUAUUCUUCCCCUGAGCCUCUUGCUAGUGAAGGUACAGCUUGGGGGCUCUAUUGCACACAGCAUAGAUUUAGAAUCUGAGUUUCUCUCUGUUGUCCGCCUUUCUCCUUCAACCUCAGGGGAUGUGGGUUCACUUCAUGAAGGUUUUCGUGGAAGUUUUCUGCUUUCUGAGGUCAGAGAAUCCGCUUUUCUAAGCUUCAUGCCUCAAGUGGAAAGAUUGACCAUGCUUCCCCUCUUGUGGUCUCUCUUCCCUGUCCUUCCUGAAUACUAAUACAGGAGCCUUCUAUCCAGCCCUGGUGCUUCUGUGGGCUGUUCAGCUUUAGCUCCUAUGUGUUACUCUACCUUGGAAUUUUCCUUUGUGUCCAUCAUGGGAAAAAUUUGCCUUCUUGCCUGGGGAUUCAUCCAUGUAGGCAUAAAACUGACAUGUUUUAUUGCAGUCAGCAUAUCUUGGGGCUGGUAACUGAGUGAGAACUUGGAGAAUGCUUGAGGGGGUACCCACCCCAUUUCCCAGUUCAUUUCUCUUAAAGAACAGCUGUGAGGGGCCCCUGUUCAAGGAUAACUUAUGGCCUGGAUGGCUGGCAGGAGUGCUACCUUGUUAGCCCAAGGGAAACCUGAGACUGGGACAUAGGCUGAGACCUUGAGGGUCAGAGCAAACAAUGACUGGCAUGGGGGACUUUAAGACCUCUAGACUCAAGCCCAAGUGACCCUUGGGAUCAGAUGUGUGCCCAACUACUUCUUUGAAUAGGAAUUUGGAAGAAAUAAAGAAAACAAAUCUGUUUUCCACACUGGGGACCACCUCAAAUGCACAGAGAGACAAAGAUAGGAACAGCAGUCAUUUUUCACAAAGAGAAAUUGGAUCAAGAGAUAACCCCCAAAUGCCAACUCUAAGAGUGUUUAGCCAUAUAGGGGAUGGAACAUUGAACAACUCAUAGGAAUUAAAGUAGCUUUAAGCAGAUUUUGCUAUUCAGGGGAUUGGGCAGCUCAAAUGGUGUCUAGAUAUGAUAACUGUCCCAUUCUAUGUCUUAUUUAGCCUUCAUAGUCGCACUGUGAACAGAUAUAAUUACCUCUACCUUCUUUAGCUGUGAUUCUCAACUGGGGAACAUUUGACAAUGUCUAGGGAUGCUUCUGAUAGUUUUAGUUUCAGAGAGAGGAGGAAGUUACUGGCAGGUAGGGAGUAGAAAGCAGGAAUGUGACCUUCUGUCAUAUAAUACAGGCAGCUUCUUGCAACUAUGGGUCAUCUGACUCUGUGAUGGCCAAGCUUUACUUUCAUCCUGACUAGCUUUGGAGUUACCUAGGAAUCACAUGCCUCUAGGUGUAUCUGUGAGGGUAUUUUCAGAGAGGUUUAACUGGAGAAAUGAUCCACCUUGAUAAUGGAUGACUUCAUCUCAUGGGAUGGAUGGGGUUCUAUGCUGAAUAAAAAGUAGGCUCUACUCUCUACGGUGUGUGUCUUAUCUUGUCAGGAUGGGAAGAAGUCAGGAGUUAAAGCUGAGAGCUGUUUGGCCAUGCAUGAUAUUGUUUCUGGCAUGAUGGACUGUACCCUUUCAAACUGUGAGCCAGAACCGACUCUUCUUUCCAGAAGUCAGCUCUCACCUGAUGUUCAUCCACAGGACACAGUAACUAACGCGGGCCCCAAAUAUCAAUAGUGAGAAAUGGCUGAGGAAUAUUGAUCUUCACUCAGACAGCAAGCCCAAGUCUUCAUACAACCAGUGUUGGUGACAAGGCAGGGAAUUUAGGAAGAAUACCUCCAGCUCAGGUUUUUUUUCUAAGCAUUUCCUGGCUGCUGUUCUCAUCACCAUUGCAUAGACGCAAAGACCAAGAUGUAGGAAGAGUAGGUGUGUAGGUUCCUUUUGCAUGAAAGCCACCAAGGUAGCAUAAACAAUUUCAUUGGCGAGGUAGAGUGUCAUGUGCUCUUUAAGUUUCUUAAAAGUCAACUUUGGAAGCAAGGACACCAUUCCUUUCUCACAAACCCAGGUUCUGUUUAUGCCAAGUGUUCUUCAAAACCCCUGUACUGGGUCAGAUUGCCAUCCUUGCUCUGUGGUGGGGAGUUGGGAAAGCAGACAGCUGGUAAGAGUGGUGAGCCCUUGAGGGCAGUCAGAAGAUAAGUGGUUUCCAACAACUGUUACCAUCGAUUAUCUCCUGGGAUGAAAAUGCCUACAGUGGAAACGGGAGCUGUGGAAGCUCAUCUUUACCAGCUCCAGCUGGCCACUAUUUCCCAGUCAAUUUCUGUUGGAUGCUGUCAGCUUCCUGUUUGAUGGUAUUUCCCUCCCCCAACCAGGCUCCAGGAUAUUGAUGAUGCUUUGAUGUCUGUCUGCUGCUCCUAUCUAUCUGCUACUUGCAUUGAAACCAAAGCAUAGCAACUAUAGGUUGCUCUCUGGACCAUGUGGGAGCACAACUUAAAGAGGAAACCACAGUUUUAGCAGUUUUAGUCCAGGAAUAUUUGGCUGUAAAACUCUGGGCAUGGUGAGGUAGAGUGUCAUGAUGGUGGAGCAAGGCUAUUUCCUCAUAUCAUGGUGAAUAAGAAGGAGGAGAGGACAAGGAAGACAAGGGAAGAGCCAAUGACAAGACACCCAGGGAAACCUCUACAACUAAAUCCUACUUUCCAAAGUCUUCAGGGUCUCCCCAAAAUAGUGUCACAGACUGGGGACCCAAGCAUUCAAAAUAUGAAGGACAUCUGUUAUUCAAGCCCUAACUUUGUCAUCAGGGAUGCAGCAUGAGCAUCCCUGGGACCUGUGCUUUUAGUUAUUGGGCUAUCUGUGUUUCUUGAAGGACUUUGAUGUGUGAGUCCAGAUGUUCUAUUCUCCACACCUCUGCCCUGCGCCUCACCUCCCUUGCUGGUUCAUAGCCCAAGACAUAGUUUAAGAACAAAAUAAAUAAAUCUUGAUAUUAGGUUAAAUGCAAGUCCUGAUGAAUACUAUUUUACAUAGCAAAAGGGAUGUGUCUUUUCUAGAGGAAACAGAAAACUCAGAGGUUAUAGAUUUCUUCUCUCAGCUCUGUCCCAGCCUUGGAGACCAUUGCUAGAGCAACAGCACCGGAUGUCCAGUCCCCAGCAGGGACUGUGUGAUUCUUUGAGAGCAUUCUAGGCCUCAGAUUUCUGACUAUGAUGGAGACAAGGUCAUUAGGGAACUGUCUUCAGGGUGGUAUCCUAGGUCUUGGCCUUCUCCUCUGGUGUUCCCUAGGUCCUUGUAUGGAAGUCUUGACUGUUUAAACUGGGGAGAGUGGGUUCAGUUACCUGUCCCCAUACACUGACUGAUAAUGGACCUCUGAGGGAGAAGAAAAAGAACAGCUGGCUAGGGCUCUACCCUGAAGGCAUCCAAAGCUCUGGGUGAAAGAAUGUGGUGCUACUAGUAUCUCCUUCUGGAUACCCAUGGUGAGAUGCAGAUGCCCAUGGUGAGAUGCAGGUACUCAUGGUGAGAAGCAGGUACCCAUGGUGAGAUGCAGGUACCCAUGGUGGGAUGCAGAUGCCCAUGGUGAGAUGCAGGUACCCAUGGUGAGAUGCAGGUACCCAUGGUGAGAUGCAGAUGCCCAUGGUGAGAUGCAGGUACCCAUGGUGGGAUGCAGAUGCCCAUGGUGAGAUGCAGGUACCCAUGGUGAGAUGCAGGUACCCAUGGUGAGAUGCAGGUAUUCAUGGUGAGAUGCAGGUACCCAUGGUGAGAUGCAGGUACCCAUGGUGAGAUGCAGGUACCCAUGGUGAGAUGCAGGUACCCAUGGUGAGAUGCAGGUAUUCAUGGUGAGAUGCAGGUACCCAUGGUGGGAUGCAGAUGCCCAUGGUGAGAUGCAGGUACCCAUGGUGAGAUGCAGGUACCCAUGGUGAGAUGCAGGUACCCAUGGUGAGAUGCAGGUAUUCAU
rnacentral:sRNA from 1 species